UACGGAGGGUGCAAGCGUUAUCCGGAUUCACUGGGUUUAAAGGGUGCGUAGGAGGGCAGGUAAGUCAGUGGUGAAAUCUCCAAGCUUAACUUGGAACUGCCGUUGAUACUAUCUGUCUUGAAUACCGUGGAGGUGAGCGGAAUAUGGUCAUGUAGCGGUGAAAUGCUUAGAUAUGACAUAGAACACCAAAUUGCGAAGGCAGCUCGCUACACGAAUAUUGACUCUGAAGGCACGAAAAGCGUGGGGAUCAAACAGG
rnacentral:rRNA from 1 species